UCUUGUCAUCGGCUAAUAUAGGGGAAUAACCGUCAAAUCCCGGGUCACGAAUUUGGAUUGUAAAGGCUGAGUUGAAGUCGCACGUUUUUGUUCAUAUACAAAUGUAAUCUACGUAAAUAGAAUUUUGAAUUGCGACUAAAAUGUCCUACACAGUGACUAUACAAUUAAUGGCGCCCGCCUGAACGGUGUUUAACAGGGAAGAGAGCUUUACAUACUGUAUGGCAAAGGCUACACCGACUUGUUUGUUGUGAAGCAUACGAUGUCCUAAACAGUGACUCUACAAUGGCGUCCUCUUGAACGGUGUUCAGGAAGAAAGGCAAUUUCACUUAUCAGAUAGCAAAGGUGACAUCUGCCUUUCCAUAUUAGAGACAAGAAUAAUAGAAGCGAGAGAUGGCGUCGGACUCAAACAAAGAUAACGGUAAGUAGCGCGAAUGUCAUUGUUAG